GCAAAUAUGUGAAACCUCUCUAUUUCACAGCAGAGGGAUGGAAACCCAGAGAGCUUGGUAGAUCAGCCUCUCCAGGCUGAGCUAGUUUUCCCUUCUCCAGGUGCCCCUCAUGGAACCUCUAUCUUAGCAUUUAUCACACUGGGAUAUAACUAUUUGUUUAUAUACCAUUUUCUAUUCAGUUUUCUGUGUGCUCCCUGAGGGCAGAAACUGUGUCUUUCAUCUUUAUACUUCUCAAGGAUAAAGCCUUCAAUAAAAGUUCCAUGAAUGAAUGACUUGCCCAAGGUCAUCUAGCUAAUAUGUGGCUGAGCUGGGACCAGAACCAAGGAACUCUAGGCAGUUACUCUGAGCUGAGACAGGGUCACAUCUACAUCCUUGCUCCUGAAAUAGCUGAACUCAUCACCUCUUCAGAGGAGGAAGCUUUGCAAAUGAGAGUAAACGCUGCGGAUCUCCACAAAAGGCUUUGGAACUCUCUCCCAUGCCCUCCUGCCAGAUCUUUAAUCCAUCUAGAAUUUAUUUUUGUGGGUGAAAUGAAGAAAACAUCUAAUUAGAGAGUUUUAUCAUCUCUGCUGCUACUCUAGAUUCGGCACCUGUGGGAGAAGGACACUUGAAAUAUAGAGCUACGAGCAAGGACACAAAGGAAGAUGAUACGUCCCAUAGUUCCUUUCACUUAUGGUUGGAUUUUAGCCAACUGCAUGUUGGUAGAAGUAAUAUAAGCCACCUACAGACUUGAGUCUUAGAUCUCUUUCACCUGGAAGCCAUAUGAUAAGAUAGCAACAUUCCAAGAAGGUGCAUCUCCGUCAGCCUAGGUCCCUGGGAGAUUAUAUGGAAUAGAGCUUACCCCACCCUACCGUUACCUUUGUUGGAUAUGUGGCAUGAACAAGAAAUAAAUAUUUACUGUAUCAAGACACUGAGAUUGAGGUUCCUUGUUACAAGAGCAUAACCUCACCUAUUCUGAUGGAUUUAUAAAGCUCUGUGGACCAAUAGCUGGUGCUUCCUCCCAGCAUGAUGGGCUUUCGUAUUACAGAAGGAUCUGAGGUUUUAAGUGCCUAAGUGCUAGGUUAUCUGCUCAAGUUCUAGGAUAUGACUGCUUCUUCAUUCAAGUCCUUUAACUUUCUUUCUUCCUUUCUUUCUUUAUGCUGUGCCACAUGGCUUGCAGGAUCUUAGUUCCCCAACCAAGGAUAGAAGCCAUGUCCCAUGCAGUGGGAGUGCCAAGUCCUAACAACUGGACUGCCGGGGAAGCCCCAAGUCCUUUACCUUCUUUAGAGCCAUGGGUUCUUUUUACAUUACUGAAAGCAAUCCAUAUUUUUAAAGGAAUGAUGAAACAUUUUCCCUUUCUUCUCAACCUAGAUCUCAGCAAAAAAUGUUUUUCCCACUGUCGUAUUUAUUCAUUUUGCUAUAUCCUGACUCAUCAAGCUUCAUUCUCUCCUGACAGACAUCCAGUUCAAUGCCUAGCCUCUAUGAAAUCUAAAGUCUGCUUAAAACAUUAAUGUUUCCCUUUUCUAGAAUUUUUCGCACUUACAAUUAACAUUGGCACUUAAUAAUAGGAGGCCUCAUUUUGGGGACUUUAGUUUUUUGCUCCAGUGAGAUUAAGGGCAGAUACCUUCUUUUAGAUCUCCAAAGGGCCUAAUGCAGCAUUAGGCCUCGAGUAGGCAGCCCAUACGGUAAGCACUUACUGAAUUAAAUUUCUAGCCAAUGUAUCUAAGCUCAGGCUUACUACAUUCCUAACCCUUUCUUCCUGGAACAGGUCUGUGGGUAAAGAAUGAUGGCUGGAAAUACUGCCACACUCUGACCUUUUCUUCAUACUCACUGGGAGGGUGGAUAUGUAUGUUGUAGGCAAGCGAGCUGGGAAGGGGUGAGACACAGCAUUUAUUUCUACUUCCUUAAAUAUUGGUUAGUAAAUAUAGUUAAGUUCUUAUCAUGAGCUUGAUAUACGUCCUGCUUCUACAGGUAAGCCAUA